UCUGGUUGAUCCUGCCAGUAGUCAUAUGCUUGUCUUAAAGAUUAAGCCAUGCAUGUCUAAGUAUAAACGCUUGUACUGUGAAACUGCGAAUGGCUCAUUAUAUCAGUUAUAAUUUAUUUGAUGGUCAUUUACUUGGAUAACCGUGGUAAAUCUAGAGCUAAUACAUGCAUAAAAUCCUAACUGGGAACGGAAAGGAUGUAUUUAUUAGAUACAAAAACCAAUGCACUAAGUUCUCACGAGCUUGGUGGAAAACAUGGUGAUUCAUGAUAACUUUACGAAUCGUAUGGUCUUGUACCGACGAUAGUUCAUUCAAAUUUCUGCCCUAUCAACUUUCGAUGGUAGUAUAGAGGACUACCAUGGUGGUAACGGGUAACGGAGAAUCAGGGUUUGAUUCCGGAGAGGGAGCCUGAGAAACGGCUACUACUUCCAAGGAAGGCAGCAGGCGCGCAAAUUACCCAAUCCCGACACGGGGAGGUAGUGACAAAAAAUAACAAUACCGGUCUUAUAUAAGUCUGGUAAUUGGAAUGAGUACAAUCUAAACCCCUUAACGAGUAUCAAUUGGAGGGCAAGUCUGGUGCCAGCAGCCGCGGUAAUUCCAGCUCCAAUAGCAUAUAUUAAAGUUGUUGCAGUUAAAAAGCUCGUAGUUGGAUUUUAGAGUUUAUUCAAUAGAGUCCGCUUGAAAAGAGUGUGUAUUUUAUUGGUAACUCUCCUUACUAGAUAUUCACGAUUAUUCUUAACUGAGUGGUUGGUCUAUUCGAAAGAGUAGGUGCUUGGUGGGUCUGGGGGUUAAGAUGUGGUUUUUUUACGGGGCAACCUGUAGAGAAAUCUGCUUAAUUCACUUCUAUUAAGUAGAAUUCUAGUUCAUUUACUUUGAGUAAAUUAGAGUGUUCAAAGCAAACGUACAAUUUUGUAAUGAAUACUAUUAGCAUGGGAUAAUGGAACAGGACGUUGGUUCUAUUUUAUUGGUUUCUAGAACUAAUGUAAUGAUUAAAAGGGAUAGUUGGGGGCAUUAGUAUUUAAUUGUCAGAGGUGAAAUUCUUGGAUUUAUGAAAGACUAACUUCUGCGAAAGCAUUUGUCAAGGAUGUUUUCAUUAAUCAAGAACGAAAGUUAGGGGAUCGAAGACGAUCAGAUACCGUCGUAGUCUUAACCAUAAACUAUGCCGACCAGGGAUUGGAAGACGU
rnacentral:rRNA from 1 species